CUCCUGCCGGCUCUGGGCCGCACCUGUCCCGGCCAGGCCACCGGGCGGACCGGCUCGGCCGGUGUCAUCCCCCCCUCGCCCCCCGCGAUGUCAAGAGGUGUGCCAGGGACGUGGGGGACCGUUGAUAUUCUAAUGGGGCUGAUGGACAGUGAACAAGACAGAGAGGAAACAGUUGUACUAAUUCACCAUGGGAGCUAAGGAGGAAAACGACCCUGAUCCUGCGGAACACUGUGGGGCUGACCGCCUUGGGCUCCUGCAUCUGCCCCCCACCCUGGGAGCUCCCCGGGAUCCCAAGAAGACGGUCGAGGGCGUCACGCAGAGUGUGGUCCACAGCUGAUGCCAGCAGAGCGGACUGCCUUCCCCCCAGUGCGCAGCGCCCCGAAGGAGGGCUGGACCAAGUGGCCUUCUUCUCCCAACCCGAAGAUACUCACAGCCACGGUUACGGUCCCUCAGGAGGUAAAACCACGCGAAGGGACGUGAUGGCCUGCCGUGGGGUUGAGCUGGAGGCCGCCACAGCGCGUUGGGCC